rnacentral:lncRNA from 1 species
AUGCAUUUCGGAGUGGCGUCCAGCCCCGACGCCGGCUUCCAGGACGCCGCUCGGGGCUGGGAAGGCUCCUGAGCUAAUGAGCUGUAAUUACCCGCUGCGGCGGGCGGCCGGCCGGCUUCUGUUUGCGUUCGCAGCGGCUUCCUCCUCCCCCGCGCGCCCCCGCCCCGCGGCCGCCCUCCGGGUUCCCGCUCGCGGCUCGGCAGCGGCCUCUUUCCCGAAAGGAGUUGUCUGUGGAGCAAAUGGCGUCCAAAGGAGAAGACCCUCCUCCCCUCCCGCUUAAGUUGGAUGGGUUCCUCCGAGUAGGGUCGGGAUGCCCAAAAGACUGUGCCGAGGGAAGAAGGGCGCGGGGUUCCCGGGGUCGCGGCGUCCGCAGCAGUGCCUCGAGGGCCUCGGGCGCCCGGGCCCCGGCAGCGCCCGCUCCCUUCCUCGCCCCGCGGCGGUGGCUGGCGCGGGCGGCCUCACCGCUCGCUCCUCUUUCCUCCUCGCUCGCCGCCUUUGUUUUGGAGACACACGUGUGCUUAGGAGCCCAGCCCGGGUGGAAAGGUCACAGGCACUUCAUUGCUCACGGGUGACAGCGGGUCCCGCAGCCUCGGUGGGCGAACGGAGCCCAGGCGUGCUGGCCAGCCUCAGUCAGGCCGCACCGGCCGGCUUGCUCCAGGCGGCCUGGUCCGCAAUCUGCGACCUGGCGACUUGUGUGACAGGGACACGAAUUACUUGGGCCAUGUACGCCAGCUUUGAGGCUGGAGGGUAUACGGAGUUCGGCAGGUUCUCUUCUAAGUGCCUGCGACCCACCCGGUCUACUACUCCUAGGCCUUGCGGCCCUGAGAACGCCUAGGCCGCAGCCAGCCCUGGGUCCAGUUCCAGGCGACCCAGGGGAACCUAGCUGUCCUCGAGUCCUGUUGCCUUGUGGUGCUGGGAAAAAAUGUCCCGGCUCCUAGAGGUGGUGUUCUGCGGGUGUCCCUUGCUUUUCCUUUUCUGGGCCAGGCAGCUAGCUAAGCAGGUUUCUAGUGUGAGCUUGUGGCUCGCGAGGAGCCCCUCGUCGCUCCCAUACUGUCUGUCCUGUCUAUCGGGAGGAAAGCUUCUUCUUAUGUUUGCAGGUUUGAAAAAUUAAGAAUGGAACAUGUGUGUGUCUAGAAAGGUGUUGGUAUUAAACACACCUUGUUAUUUCUGCAAGAGUUGCCUCUGUAGUAGUUCUGAGUCAUGUGAGAGUUGAUAGAUUUAAAAAACAAAACGCACAUGUGUAAUGUUUUCUAUUGUCUAUACAUUUGCUUUUGAACACUCAUAUCUAAUUUAAGAGAAAGAAACUAUUUCUGCC